CUCGGAAGCUAAGCAGGCUCAGGCCUGGUUAGUACUUGGAUGGGAGACCGCCUGGGAAUACCAGGUGCCGUAGGCUU
rnacentral:rRNA from 3 species